AGCAUUGACUCUCUCUUUCUCAUAUCCAUGGACAAGACAUCAUCAUUCUACAGCCACGAAGGAAAGCCCAUUCGAUGCAAAGCAGCAAUAUGUAAAAAAGCAGGAGAACCAUUGGUGAUCGAAGAGAUCCACGUUCAUCCACCUCAAGCUUACGAAGUUAGGAUUAAGAUCGUAUGCACAACUCUUUGUCACACCGAUCUUGCUUUCUCGAAAUAUGACAGUGGACCACUCGCAAGGUUUCCUCGAAUUCUAGGACACGAAGCAGUUGGUUUGGUAGAGAGCAUAGGUGAACAUGUGGAUGGAUUCAAACACGGCGACGUGGUAUUGCCAGUAUUUCACCCUCACUGUGAAGAAUGUAGAGACUGCAAAUCUUCAAAGGGCAACUGGUGCACAAGAUUUGCCGAAGAUCUCGUGUCAAACACGCGACGAUACGGAAUGGCUUCGAGGUUCAAGGACUCUAUGGGAGAAGAUAUUCACCAUUUUUUCUUCGUCUCAAGUUUUUCUGAAUAUACCAUCGUUGAUAUCGCUCAUCUCGUUAAAAUCUCCCCUGAAAUUCCCGUUGAUAGAGCGGUUUUGCUGAGCUGCGGUGUCUCCACAGGAAUUGGAGCAGCUUGGAGAACGGCUGACAUUGAAGAAGGCUCCACCGUUGCAGUUUUUGGCCUUGGUGCUGUUGGACUAGCGGUCGGAGAAGGCGCCAGGCUGCGGGGGGCAGCGCAGAUCAUCGGUAUUGAUAUCAAUCCUGAUAAAUUCGCGAUAGGUAAGAAAUUUGGCUUCACGGAUUUCGUCAAUCCUACCUUGUGUGGAGAUAAAAAGAUUAGCGAGGUGAUUAAAGAAAUAGCAGGCGGAGGAGUUGACUACAGUUUUGAAUGUGUUGGUAUAACUUCUGUAUUGAGCGAGGCUUUCCUUAGCACCCGCACGAGAAGAUUAGCAUGGUCCUUGCGCAAGGAUGACACACACAAAUCGGGAAAUGGGUACAGGAAAAACGGUAGCGUUGGGGAUAAAUCCUGCAGCUCCAACAGAAUUGGAUAGUUUUGGUCUUUUCAGAGGAAAACAUGUUUGUGGAAGUUUGUUUGGUGGUCUAAAACCCAAGCUAGAUAUUCCCAUUCUCGUGGAUCGAUACUUAAAGAAGGAGCUUAAUCUGGAUAGUUUUAUCACACAUGAACUGAAAUUUGAAGAUAUCAAUAAGGCUUUCGACUUAUUAGAGAAAGGAAAGUCUCUCCGGUGCAUUCUGUGGAUGGAUAAGAAAUAAAUAUUUUAUGUUAGACGACCAAAAAAUAUUUUAUGUAAAUGGUGAUGUGUCACUAAGUCUUCUCUGUUUUUGUCUUUUUCUCAUUUUGAUAAAUUAUUACAAAUAUCCUUCUGUUUAAUAUUAAGAAUGAAUGAUGAAAACU